rnacentral:pre_miRNA from 1 species
CGCUCAGUAAUCAGUGUAGAUCCUGUAUAUCUGUCAGCAGCUACAUCUGGCUACUGGGUCUC